rnacentral:rRNA from 1 species
UACAGAGGGUGCGAGCGUUACUCGGAAUUACUGGGCGUAAAGCGCGCGUAGGCGGCUUUGCAAGUCGGGUGUGAAAUCCCCAGGCUUAACCUGGGAACUGCAUUCGAGACUGCAUUGCUAGAGUAUGGGAGAGGGAAGUGGAAUUUCCGGUGCAGCGGUGAAAUGCGUAGAUAUCGGAAGGAACAUCAGUGGCGAAAGCGACUUCCUGGACCAAUACUGACGCUCAUGUGCGAAAGCGUGGGGAGCAAACAGG